rnacentral:rRNA from 1 species
GACGAACGCUGGCGGCGUGCCUAAUACAUGCAAGUAGAACGCUGAAGGAGGAGCUUGCUUCUCUGGAUGAGUUGCGAACGGGUGAGUAACGCGUAGGUAACCUGCCUGGUAGCGGGGGAUAACUAUUGGAAACGAUAGCUAAUACCGCAUAAGAGUAGAUGUUGCAUGACAUUUGCUUAAAAGGUGCAAUUGCAUCACUACCAGAUGGACCUGCGUUGUAUUAGCUAGUUGGUGGGGUAACGGCUCACCAAGGCGACGAUACAUAGCCGACCUGAGAGGGUGAUCGGCCACACUGGGACUGAGACACGGCCCAGACUCCUACGGGAGGCAGCAGUAGGGAAUCUUCGGCAAUGGACGGAAGGCUGACCGAGCAACGCCGCGUGAGUGAAGAAGGGUUUCGGAUCGUAAAGCUCUGUUGUAAGAGAAGAACGAGUGUGAGAGUGGAAAGUUCACACUGUGACGGUAUCUUACCAGAAAGGGACGGCUAACUACGUG